rnacentral:rRNA from 1 species
GAUGAACGCUAGCGGCAGGCUUAAUACAUGCAAGUCGAGGGGCAGCAUGAGUGUAGCAAUACAUUUGAUGGCGACCGGCAAACGGGUGCGGAACACGUACACAACCUUCCUAUAAGUGGGGAAUAGCCCAGAGAAAUUUGGAUUAAUACCCCGUAACAUAAUGAUGUGGCAUCACAUUAUUAUUAUAGCUUCGGCGCUUAUUGAUGGGUGUGCGGCUGAUUAGAUAGUUGGCGGGGUAACGGCCCACCAAGUCUACGAUCAGUAGCUGAUGUGAAAGCAUGAUCAGCCACACGGGCACUGAGACACGGGCCCGACUCCUACGGGAGGCAGCAGUAAGGAAUAUUGGUCAAUGGACGCAAGUCUGAACCAGCCAUGCCGCGUGAAGGAUUAAGGUCCUCUGGAUUGUAAACUUCUUUUAUCUGGGACGAAAAAAGGCGAUUCUUCGUCACUUGACGGUACCAGAUGAAUAAGCACCGGCUAACUCCGUGCCAGCAGCCGCCGUAAUAC